UCGGGAAUUUUGGGCAAUGGGCGAAAGCCUGACCCAGCAACGCCGCGUGAAGGAUGAAGUAUUUCGGUAUGUAAACUUCGAAAGAAUAGGAAGAAUAAAUGACGGUACUAUUUAUAAGGUCCGGCUAACUGCGUGCCAGCAGCCGCGGUAAUACGUAGGGACCAAGCGUUGUUCGGAUUUACUGGGCGUAAAGGGCGCGUAGGCGGCAUGACAAGUCACUUGUGAAAUCUCUGGGCUUAACCCAGAACGGCCAAGUGAUACUGUCGCGCUAGAGUGCAGAAGGGGCAAUCGGAAUUCUUGGUGUAGCGGUGAAAUGCGUAGAUAUCAAGAGGAACACCUGAGGUGAAGACGGGUUGCUGGGCUGACACUGACGCUGAGGCGCGAAAGCCAGGGGAGCAAACGGGAUUAGAUACCCCCGUAGUCCCUGAGCGGGCUGGCAAGGCGCAU
rnacentral:rRNA from 1 species